UAACUAAAUACUAUGCAAGCUGUAGGUCC
rnacentral:piRNA from 1 species